CGAAUUCAGACAAACUCCGAAUGCCAAUUAAUUUAACUUGGGAGUCAGAACAUGGGUGAUAAGGUCCGUGUUCGAAAGGGAAACAGCCCAGACCACCAGCUAAGGUCCCAAAAUAUAUGUUAAGUGGAAAAGGAUGUGGCGUUGCCCAGACAACUAGGAUGUUGGCUUAGAAGCAGCCAUCAUUUAAAGAGUGCGUAAUAGCUCACUAGUCGAGUGACACUGCGCCGAAAAUGUACCGGGGCUAAACAUAUUACCGAAGCUGUGGAUUGUCCUUUGGACAAUGGUAGGAGAGCGUUCUAAGGGCGUUGAAGCAUGAUCGUAAGGACAUGUGGAGCGCUUAGAAGUGAGAAUGCCGGUGUGAGUAGCGAAAGACGGGUGAGAAUCCCGUCCACCGAUUGACUAAGGUUUCCAGAGGAAGGCUCGUCCGCUCUGGGUUAGUCGGGUCCUAAGCUGAGGCCGACAGGCGUAGGCGAUGGAUAACAGGUUGAUAUUCCUGUACCACCUAUAAUCGUUUUA
rnacentral:rRNA from 1 species